rnacentral:rRNA from 1 species
UACGAAGGUCCCGAGCGUUGUUCGGAAUCACUGGGCGUAAAGGGAGCGUAGGCGGCGCGGUAAGUCAGAUGUGAAAUCCCGGGGCUCAACCCCGGAACUGCAUCCGAUACUGCCGUGCUAGAGGAUUGGAGAGGUAGCUGGAAUUCUUGGUGUAGCAGUGAAAUGCGUAGAGAUCAAGAGGAACACCCGUGGCGAAAGCGAGCUACUGGACAAUUCCUGACGCUGAGGCUCGAAGGCUAGGGUAGCGAAAGGG